rnacentral:rRNA from 1 species
UGCAAGUCGAACGAUGACCCCGGUGCUUGCACCGGGUGAUUAGUGGCGAACGGGUGAGUAACACGUGAGUAACCUGCCCCCGACUCUGGGAUAAGCCCGGGAAACUGGGUCUAAUACCGGAUAUUCACUUCCUUCCGCAUGGAAGGUGGUGGAAAGAUUUAUCGGUGGGGGAUGGACUCGCGGCCUAUCAGCUUGUUGGUGGGGUAAUGGCCCACCAAGGCGACGACGGGUAGCCGGCCUGAGAGGGUGACCGGCCACACUGGGACUGAGACACGGCCCAGACUCCUACGGGAGGCAGCAGUGGGGAAUAUUGCACAAUGGGCGAAAGCCUGAUGCAGCGACGCCGCGUGAGGGAUGACGGCCUUCGGGUUGUAAACCUCUUUCAGUAGGGAAGAAGCGAAAGUGACGGUACCUGCAGAAGAAGCGCCGGCUAACUACGUGCCAGCAGCCGCGGUAAUACGUAGGGCGCAAGCGUUAUCCGGAAUUAUUGGGCGUAAAGAGCUCGUAGGCGGUUUGUCGCGUCUGCCGUGAAAGUCCGGGGCUCAACCCCGGAUCUGCGGUGGGUACGGGCAGACUAAAGUGAUGUAGGGGAGACUGGAAUUCCUGGUGUAGCGGUGAAAUGCGCAGAUAUCAGGAGGAACACCGAUGGCGAAGGCAGGUCUCUGGGCAUUAACUGACGCUGAGGAGCGAAAGCAUGUGGAGCGAACAGGAUUAGAUACCCUGGUAGUCCAUGCCGUAAACGUUGGGCACUAGAUGUGCGGGACAUUCCACGUUUUCCGCGUCGUAGCUAACGCAUUAAGU